GGGGAUGUAGCACAAAUAGUAGUGUGCUCUCUUUGCAUGUUAGAGGUAUGAGGUUCGAUACCCCGCAUUUCCA
rnacentral:tRNA from 1 species